UACUUAAUCCAGACAGGACAUGCGCAGCCAGAGUCGCCGUACGGCAUCGUGCUCGCGAGCACCGGUGCCGGUGCCCGGUGCGCUGCGCCCGUCAUCCAAUUCCGUGUAGUGGGGGCGAGGCGAACAAAGCCCGGGCUAUACUGGUGGCGCUGGCUGGCACACGAUCGACCGGAGGGAAUUUGUCCACGCAUGUGUGGCGCGCAGGUCCCGUCCGGCGGUCACCACACCACCCGAGGGCACGCGCCUGGCUGGGCGCGAGUGCGCCGGAAUGGACAUCUGAGAGGACGGGACGUCGCGUCCGGCGGAUGCCCAGCCGGGGUCGCGUGACGGAGCCACGCUGCCGGCCACGGCUGGCUGGAGGGCGGAGCACCGGUGACCGGGGAGACAAGACAAGGAGCCCCACGCACCCGC
rnacentral:lncRNA from 1 species